CGGCGGACGGGUGAGUAACGCGUAGGAACCUACCUAAUAGAUUGGGAUAGCCCAGAGAAAUUUGGAUUAAUACCGAAUACGCCCUACGGGGGAAAGCAGGGGAUCUUCGGACCUUGCGCUAUUAGAUGGGCCUGCGUGAGAUUAGCUAGUUGGUGGGGUAAAGGCCCACCAAGGCGACGAUCUCUAGCUGGUCUGAGAGGAUGAUCAGCCACACUGGAACUGAGACACGGUCCAG
rnacentral:rRNA from 1 species